GCAGAACAGCUGGCGGCGUGCCUAAUACAUGCAAGUCGAGCGGACUAAUGGGNAGCUUGCUCCCGUUAGUUAGCGGCGGACGGGUGAGUAACACGUGGGCAACCUACCUGUAAGACUGGGAUAACUUCGGGAAACCGGAGCUAAUACCGGAUGACAUAAAGGAACUCCUGUUCCUUUAUUGAAAGAUGGCUUUUAGCUAUCACUUACAGAUGGGCCCGCGGCGCAUUAGCUAGUUGGUGAGGUAACGGCUCACCAAGGCGACGAUGCGUAGCCGACCUGAGAGGGUGAUCGGCCACACUGGGACUGAGACACGGCCCAGACUCCUACGGGAGGCAGCAGUAGGGAAUCUUCCGCAAUGGACGAAAGUCUGACGGAGCAACGCCGCGUGAGCGAUGAAGGCCUUCGGGUCGUAAAGCUCUGUUGUUAGGGAAGAAUAAGUGCUAGUUAAAUAAGCUGGCACCUUGACGGUACCUAACCAGAAAGCCACGGCUAACUACGUGCCAGCAGCCGCGGUAAUACGUAGGUGGCAAGCGUUGUCCGGAAUUAUUGGGCGUAAAGCGCGCGCAGGCGGUUUCUUAAGUCUGAUGUGAAAGCCCCCGGCUCAACCGGGGAGGGUCAUUGGAAACUGGGAAACUUGAGUGCAGAAGAGGAAAGUGGAAUUCCAAGUGUAGCGGUGAAAUGCGUAGAGAUU
rnacentral:rRNA from 1 species